UUAGAUCUUUAAAUCUACGCAAUGGAUUUUGAUGCAGAUUUUUUAAAUAUAUAGUAUAAAGGUUUAGAUGAUGAUUUAUUAUGGUCAUACAUAAAGAAAGAUAUUCAGCGGUAAGUGUCGACGAUUGUUGCUCUGCGGACAGACUAGUUGGUCAGCAAGGACUGCUCACUUCAACCUUGACGCAUUUCUACUUGGGCUCGACUCUCCUAAUCCUGCAGCUCCAGAGCGAUGGUCGUUCGUGUAAUUUUCUUCACACUCACUGAAGGUUUAGAAUCUUUGUACCACAAAAAUAUAUAUUAUUGAAACUAUUUGCAAAAAGCCGUCUCACGAGCGCCGCGAUAUAUACUUUUACGUUUGGAAAAACAGCAAGCAAAUGAAUGAUAUGGGUAUUAUGAUGAGUUGAGUACAUUUUAUACUCCUUUCUGAGCAAUCGGGUACUGAGAAUAUACUAAAAAUAUUCUGUGACAAUCUUACAUCACUUCACUGAGAAUCACAUCAGACACAACUGUCAGACAAUCAAGAUUUUCAGUGUUUGCCUACCUUAAGACAGGCCUGCUGCCCAUAACUGUCAGGAUUUGACAGAAAUCAAAAGAAGAAAGCUUAGAAACGGAGAAACGACAUGGAGGGUGACUUUGUUUUAUACUAUAUAGUGAUGAAUACAUAUAUGUUUUUUUAAUAAUGAAAAAAUCUUCUUUGGCUCUUCGAUAGCCCUGUUCCAAGGCAUGUAGUUCGAUUCCCGAUACCCAUUUAAUCCGGCAUAGCUGAUCAGGAAUCCCAGUUCUUGCUUGACGUCGCUUCCCACUAACCAGCCAGCGCUGGUCAUUAUCGCCUUAAUAGAACAAACACGUUUGCUGGGAACCAACCGACCGGGCCAGGUGACAGUGGAGUGGAGUUACCCGAUCGCCACUUGUCGAUUUCAAACAUAUUUUAUUCGACGUCAUUUAAGUCAAGUACCACGAUACUGACUUGAUUAGUUGUUUGGAGAAUUUAUUUACACUAUCUGUAUAAUGUGAUAACACACACUUAAGAAGUAAGCUAAGCAAGCGUUCAAUUUUAUAAUAUAACCCGUAAACAUUUUCAAUUCACAAGUACGCCAGCCGAAUAACAUUGUCAGGUUAAAUAAACAGAAUGUAAUUCAGAAUUCCAGAAAUUUCGCAAUCUUGAUUUAAAAGGUUUUACCCGAGCGAAGCCGGGUUGGGUCGCUACUAUAAUAUAAUUCUGCAUUUUUACUCCGCAUUUUUAUACAACAUAACAACAACGAAGAUAAAACUGUUUUUAUAAUGAUCACUUCCUUAUCGAUACAACCGGGGAAGCGAUGUACGUCUUGAGUAACAAAGCUAAUAUCUCAGAUGGUACCUACAAAGGAAAACUUUUUAAUAGUAUAGAUACGUUCGUCGUGGUUACGGAGCAGCUUUCAAAUGCGUUUCAUUU